CAUCAUGGGCCACGACCCCAGAGAUGCUGAGAUGCUUUAAACUUUAAAAGCACUUUAGUUUUUCCUCUGUCACUUAGAGAAUAAAAUGUAGAAAGCAGAGCUCUGGAUUUGAUCCACUGGUUUCAGACUGAGAGACAGAACCACAGCUGAUCUCACUGAGCUACUCUUCAACCUGGAUGUGCAGCUUUUUGUUGUUGUGUUCAUUGUUCACUUCCCUCAGAAGCAACAACAGAAAGAAGUCAGUAGCCUAGAGUUGAACCUAGGACCUAAGAACAAGGAGGAGUUACUAGGGCGUCUCACCUCACUGAGCUAUUCACAAAGUUUAACCAAAGGAAGUUUGUCCUUAGAUUUCUAGAUCACCAGCCUCAGCACCAGCUCAUCCUUCUCUACUGGGUUUUCUCUUCUCACUAAAUGAGUCAUAAAGUCUCUUUGAGGAUCAGUGUUAGUGGAUGUGGACAGUUGUAGUUUCUGACACUGACCACUGGAGGGCAGUGAUGGUGAUAGUUUAAAAACACUUCCUGUCCUCUGGGUUCAUUAAAUCGUUCAGGAUCAGGAGGAACUCUGAUUUAUUUGAGCUUCAUCACUCAUCCUCCUCCUCCUGCUGCUGCUGCUGCUGAAGAUGAGUUUCCAGGUGAAAACUGAAGAUGAGUCGUGGUCUGACUUGGUCUCCUUCUCAUCCUGAACCUUUCCUCAGAGCUGGUCUCAUCAUGAGCUUCACAGAGAAACCUUCUGACUUCAGGUCAGCACAGUCACCUCAGAAACAGCAGAGAAACUAAGACUCACUUUCUUUGGACACAGUUAUUUUUAUUAAAUGAUAAAAUGUUCUUCCACAGUGACUCCUCACAGGAAACUGUAUUAAAAUGUGAUUUGUUGUUUUUUAUGGUAAAAUAAAAGCUUUUUAUCAAACUAAA